UACGUAGGGUGCGAGCGUUGUCCGGAAUCAUUGGGCGUAAAGCGCGUGUAGGCGGCCAAGUAAGUCUGGUGUGAAAGCCCUGGGCUUAACCCCGGAAGUGCACUGGAUACUGUUUGGCUAGAGGACGAGAGAGGGAAGUGGAAUUCCUGGUGUAGGGGUGAAAUCCGUAGAUAUCAGGAGGAACAUCGGUGGCGAAGGCGACUUCCUGGCUCGUUUCUGACGCUCAGACGCGAAAGCGUGGGGAGCAAACAGG
rnacentral:rRNA from 1 species